UACAACAGCCUGAGCUGAACCAAUGAUGGGUGUUUUCUCCCGAUGUUCAUCCGGGAGCACAGGAUAAAUGUGUCAGCCCACGCAUUACCUUCAGGAGACUCAGACUUAACAGGAAAAGUUUGAAAAGUUGCAAUGAAGACUGACCUAAACAAAGACAUGCCUAUACCACUUCUAUGUACAGAUGUAGACAGAAAAGCCUUCAAUGAGGACCUCAAAGCAUGUACGGCAAGACUGAUUUUCUAUUGGUACUGCCACAAACCAUACUGGAAACAACCAUGAGUAAUGACAGCUCUCCUACAGAGAGCUCCUGCAAUAACCACCCUGGUAUCAAGCGAUUAAGAAUGAAUGAACAAUCAUAUUAUUGUUAGUACAACUUUGCUCCUCACAUUUCCUAUUCUGUUGAAAAUUAGAGAUUACAGACAUGAACUAAUUUUUGAAUCUAAUAUUGAGUAACAGUGGCUGUAUGUAGAAGGAUUUAUUUUACAUACUUUGAAAAAUCAUAUUCU